rnacentral:rRNA from 1 species
GAUGAACGCUGGCGGCGUGCCUAAUACAUGCAAGUCGAGCGAACGGACGAGAAGCUUGCUUUUCUGAUGUUAGCGGCGGACGGGUGAGUAACACGUGGAUAACCUACCUAUAAGACUGGGAUAACUUCGGGAAACCGGAGCUAAUACCGGAUAAUAUUUUGAACCGCAUGGUUCAAAAGUGAAAGACGGUCUUGCUGUCACUUAUAGAUGGAUCCGCGCUGCAUUAGCUAGUUGGUAAGGUAACGGCUUACCAAGGCAACGAUGCAUAGCCGACCUGAGAGGGUGGUCGGCCACCCUGGAACUGAGACACGGUCCAGACUCCUACGGGAGGCAGCAGUAGGGAAUCUUCCGCAUUGGGCGAAAGCCUGACGGAGCAACGCCGCGUGAGUGAUGAAGGUCUUCGGAUCGUAAAACUCUGUUAUUAGGGAAGAACAUAUGUGUAAGUAACUGUGCACAUCUUGACGGUACCUAAUCAGAAAGCCACGGCUAACUACGUG